rnacentral:rRNA from 1 species
UACGAAGGGUGCAAACGUUGCUCGGGAUUAUUGGGCGUAAAGCGCACGUAGGCGGCUUGGCAAGUCGGAUGUGAAAUCCCUCGGCUCAACCAAGGAAGUGCAUCCGAAACUGCCGAGCUUGAGUACUUAAGAGGAUCGCGGAAUUCCCGGUGUAGAGGUGAAAUUCGUAGAUAUCGGGAGUAACACCAGUGGCGAAGGCGGCGAUCUGGGAAGAUACUGACGCUGAGGUGCGAAAGCGUGGGGAGUAAACAGG